rnacentral:lncRNA from 1 species
GUGGACGUUUAUUACAAGACAGCCUUUACACGUUGUGGUACAUGGUUGUGUACCAGUGAGGACUGUGGGAAUGAGGUUAUGAUAGAGGGUCAGACAGUGGACCAGGAGAUGUCUGGGGACUGGUGUCAGACAGAAGGAGUCUUUAAUGUUGACUUAUCCAGUAACACAGUCGACUUUUCUCUGCGAUUGAAUAGAAGUUUAUGGAUAGACAAUGAUAAUUCUGUUGUUGUUUGGAGGCUGUGGCCCUAUGUGGAUCUUGGGGUCAGGUCUGACACGGGGACAGUCAACCGAUCUCCACAGACCACUGUCAUACCUCUAAUGCGGUAAAUACUCCUACUGAUCAGUGUUAAGUGAUUUAGUUCAAUGAACAAGAGAUUUUAUCAAUCUGUGUGUUUUAUUCAGUCAAUAGAAAACAGGUCUGAAACACUGCAAUAAUCCCUCUCUCUCUCUCUCUCUCUCUCUCUCUCUCUCUCUCUCUCUCUCUCUCUCUCUCUCUCUCUCUCUCUCUCUCUCAGUGUCCCUGCUAAUUGUCAAAGAGAUUUCAACCUGUUGCUGUUUGAUCCAGAUGGGGAUCAGGUCAGAUGCAGAUAUGCAGUACCAACGGAUGAGUGUUACACAUCAAGUGACCUUCCUAAUGACUUCACUCUACGAGAGAACUGCACCUUGUCAUUUUGGGGCAACAGUAAUACCACUGGAACAUAUGCAGUUCAGUUAAUGAUGGAGGAUUUCCCUACUCAGUCCAUCUCUCUCUCCUAUACUGACGGAUAUCAAUCUAACAGGACCUCAAACGAUACACUCUGCAAACUACCUGUUCAGUUUGUAGUGAGAGUGGACCCCCCGGUGACAUCCUGUAUGGAGGGGUUGGACCUACCCAUGUUCGUGUCUCCAACACCAGCCCAGGGUACACUGCUGAACGCCUCUGCAGACCAACCCCUGGAAAUCAUUGUCAGAGCACAGGCUACCAACUCCACGGUUUCAGAGCUGUUGGUGAGUGGACCUUCCGGUAUCACAGAUAACACCACUGAUCCAGGAAAGUACCUUCUGAGAUGGACGCCCACUGAGGAUGAGGAGGGAGGGUACUAUCCUGUGUGCUUCAUCGCUCAGGGAGUGAACAACAGUUCCAAGUAUCACUCUGAGCUGCGCUGUGUGAUCGUCAGGGUUGGAAACACAAGCGCCAUCAUAACCACAGAGCCAACAACCUCUCUUCCUCUGACAAUAAACCUCACAACCACAGAGGAACCAACAACCUCCCCUCCUCUGACAAUAAACCUCACGACCACAGAGGAACCAACAACCUCCCCUCCUCCGACAACAAAUCUCACAACCACAGAGGAGCCAACAACCUCCCCUCCUCUGACAAUAAACCUCACGACCACAGAGGAACCAACAACCUCCCCUCCUCCGACAAUAAAUCUCAUAACCACAGAGCCAACAACCUCCCCUCCUCUGACAAUAAACCUCACGACCACAGAGGAACCAAUAACCUCCCCUCAUCUGACAAUUAACCUCACGACCACAAAGGAACCAACAACCUCUCCUCCUCAGACAAUAAAUCUCAUAACCACAGAGGAACCAAUAACCUCUCCUCCUCUGACAAUAAACCUCACGACCACAGAGAUUGCACCUGAACUUCCAACCACGCCCACAAAUUUCAGUACAUACGCAACCACAGCAUCCCCAACUUUAAGUACAAACCCAACCACCGAUCUCACAACCCAUAUUGUGGACAGUACAACAAAGAACAGUGGGCCUAGAUACGUUGUUGUACUGAGGAUAAAAGUGUCCUCUCUGAUCCCACUGACAGAUGAUUACAUCAGAAACGUGGUGUUUCAGCAGCUCCGUGUGGAACUGAUCAGACUAGGGCUGCCAGGGGACUUCAUGCUACGCCUGUUAGCCACUCAUGACAUCAGUCCCUGA